rnacentral:lncRNA from 1 species
AAAAAGUCAGGUCGGAUUAAGCCAUAGUACGGGAAAAACUAUGCUACCUGUGAGCCCCGUCCAAGGACGUUAAAAGAAGUCAGGCCACUACAAGUGCCAUAACUUGAGCAAACUAUGCAGCCUGUAGCUCCACCUGGGAAGGUGUAAAAAAUCUGGGAGGCCACAAACCAUGGAAGCUGUACGCAUGGCGUAGUGGACUAGCGGUUAGAGGAGACCCCUCCCUUGCAAAUCGCAGCAACAAUGGGGGCCCAAGGUGAGAUGAAGCUGUAGUCUCACUGGAAGGACUAGAGGUUAGAGGAGACCCCCCCGAAACAAAAAACAGCAUAUUGACGC